CUACGGAGGGUGCAAGCGUUACUCGGAAUCACUGGGCGUAAAGGACGCGUAGGCGGAUUGGAAAGUCAGAUGUGAAAUCCUACAGCUUAACUGUAGAACUGCAUUUGAAACUUCUAAUCUAGAGUAUGGGAGGGGGAGAUGGAAUUAGUGGUGUAGGGGUAAAAUCCGUAGAUAUCACUAGGAAUACCGAAAGCGAAGGCGAUCUCCUGGAACAUAACUGACGCUAAGGCGUGAAAGCGUGGGGAGCAAACAGGAUUAGAAACCCUAGUAGUCC
rnacentral:rRNA from 1 species